UACGUAGGGUGCAAGCGUUGUCCGGAAUUAUUGGGCGUAAAGAGCUCGUAGGCGGUCUGUCGCGUCUGCUGUGAAAUCUCAGGGCUUAACCCUGAGCUUGCAGUGGGUACGGGCAGACUAGAGUGCGGUAGGGGAGACUGGAAUUCCCGGUGUAGCGGUGAAAUGCGUAGAUAUCUGAAGGAACACCAGUGGCGAAAGCGGCUUCCUGGUCCAGUACCGACGUUCAGGCACGAAAGCGUGGGGAGCAAACAGG
rnacentral:rRNA from 1 species